UACGAAGGGGGCUAGCGUUGUUCGGAAUUACUGGGCGUAAAGCGCGCGCAGGCGGUCUUUCAAGUCAGUGGUGAAAGCCCGGAGCUCAACUCCGGAAAUGCCAUUGAAACUGUGAGACUUGAGGAUGAGGGAGGUGAGUGGAAUUCCCAGUGUAGAGGUGAAAUUCGUAGAUAUUGGGAAGAACACCGGUGGCGAAGGCGGCUCACUGGCUCAUUUCUGACGCUCAGGCGCGACAGCGUGGGGAUCAAACAGG
rnacentral:rRNA from 1 species